CGCUUCUUGGCGGGCUAACAGUGACUUGCGGGGGAAGCCUACGCGCGUGUGCACGCGGCACUCUCUGCCCAUGGUCCGGGGACUUUCCCCUAGGCGAAAGGAUAAGGAACAAGGUCCCCCAACGCCGCUCCCAGGUCGGUCCCGGGGCCACCGAACCUCGGCGGCAGCCGCCACCCAAGGACCAGCGCGAGCGGGCCCGGGCCGGAUCGCUGUCUUUGGGCGCGCUGUACACCGCAGCCAUCGUGGCUUUUGUGCUGUUCAAGUGUUUGCAGGGGCAUUCAAGGAUCCAGAGAGGUAAUGGAUAUAAGGGGGCUGAGAAAUUGUAGCUAAUAACCGUUACUUUUACUCCUCCCUCCAGUGAAGAGCGAUUUUCAUACUGGAGCUCAUGUAAGUGAGAUUUUAACCCAACUUGUAUCAAUAUGCAAAAAAUGAAGUUACUGAUAAGGCACCAACCUUGGCCCAAGGGGUUAAUCACUGCAGGAACAGUGUCUAGUGUACCAGACCACCAAGCGGUUUCGUAUUCUCCUUGGGAAGGAAGCCCUGAAAUGUGAACUGACAGUACAUUCGGCUGGAUUUGAAACUGUUGAAAUGGUUUUGCCUCUGGUCAAUUACUUGCAGUAGGAAAUAGAGACUGAACUAAUUAGUAACAUAAAACUAGAUGAGAUUAACGAGCCCAAGCAGACUUGACAGGCUAGGAUGAAGACUGGAAUUUAAAGAUAGAUUAAUAAAUACUAGCGGGGCGUAGUGUUGGACGCCUUUAAUCCCAGCACUCAGGAGACAGAAGCAGAAAGAGCUUUAUGAGUUCGAGGCCAGCCUCUACAGAGCUGGUUCGAGAAUACCCAGAGAAACCCUGUAUCAAAACCAAAACAAAAAUGUCCUAUUCUAUUCCUGUCUUAUGGGGUUAAGCAGCCAGGAAGAAGAAGUUCAGGACCGGUGGAAGAGAUCUAGGCAUUGCAGCUGACGUUUUCACGGUGUGUUAUAAUAGCCCACUUUCCAAUGAAAGGCUCUGAAUGGAGGCUUGUGCUUUAUCUACCCAUCAGAACACUGGGAGAAUUGUAUCCUAAAAAUAAACCAUAGGGCACCGCCUUUAAGAGCAAAGAGCACUAUAUAGUUGGUUUUUGGGUUUUUUUUGGGGGGGGGCUUUUUGUUUGUUUGUUUGUUGUUUAAUCUGUAAUGGGGGUAAUGCGAAUUGAACAGAUUGAGAAUUUUUUUUUUUACCAGCAAAGACUGCAAGAACAGGACCUGGUGACACAGUCCUGUUAUUCCAACUACUCUGGGGGAGGAUUGUAAGUUCCAAGGCCUGUCUGGACAAUUUAGCAAGACUCUAUCUCAAAGACAGCGAAGGGUAGGGAUGCUAAAUAAGGAGGCAGGGAUAGGAGCAGGCUUCAGAGUCCUACUGCAGGAAUCUGAAGUUUCACAUUCCGGAGCAUGCUUCAGCAGUCUGGCCAUGUGUGGGCAUCCGGACGUGUCACUUCAUGCUCUGGGUAAGCAGCUGGGCUAGAAACAUCUGUGAUUCUCUGUGGUGGGUGCCCAGAGCUCUCUCUAUGGCUCCUCUCUCCACUGGCUCUUAGGUGCCUUUAUCUGCUUCCA
rnacentral:lncRNA from 1 species